rnacentral:rRNA from 1 species
AGCGAACGCUGGCGGCAGGCUUAACACAUGCAAGUCGAACGGGCAUCUUCGGAUGUCAGUGGCAGACGGGUGAGUAACACGUGGGAACGUACCCUUCGGUUCGGAAUAACUCAGGGAAACUUGAGCUAAUACCGGAUACGCCCUUUUGGGGAAAGGUUUACUGCCGAAGGAUCGGCGCGCGUCUGAUUAGCUUGUUGGUGGGGUAACGGCCUACCAAGGCGACGAUCAGUAGCUGGUCUGAGAGGAGGAUCAGCCACACUGGGACUGAGACACGGCCCAGACUCCUACGGGAGGCAGCAGUGGGGAAUAUUGGACAAUGGGCGCAAGCCUGAUCCAGCCAUGCCGCGUGAGUGAUGAAGGCCUUAGGGUUGUAAAGCUCUUUUGUCCGGGACGAUAAUGACGGUACCGGAAGAAUAAGCCCCGGCUAACUUCGUG